rnacentral:rRNA from 1 species
GUCUGUGGCCAUCACCCUGAAUGCUUCUGAUCAUCAGAGCUAAGCAGGGGUGGGCCUAGUUAGUACUUGGACGGGAGACCACAGGAAAUGCCCAAUGCUGUAGGGC